rnacentral:rRNA from 1 species
CAGUAGCCACGGGAAUACGAAGGGUGCAAGCGUUACUCGGAAUUACUGGGCGUAAAGCGUGCGUAGGUGGUGGUUUAAGUCCGUUGUGAAAGCCCUGGGCUCAACCUGGGAAUUGCAGUGGAUACUGGGUCACUAGAGUGUGGUAGAGGAUAGUGGAAUUUCCGGUGUAGCAGUGAAAUGCGUAGAGAUCGGAAGGAACAUCUGUGGCGAAGGCGACUAUCUGGGCCAACACUGACACUGAGGCACGAAAGCGUGGGGAGCAAACAGGAUUAGAGACCCGUGUAGUCCCUGUCUCUUAUAC